rnacentral:rRNA from 1 species
GACGAACGCUGGCGGCGUGCUUAACACAUGCAAGUCGAACGGUAAGGCCCUUCGGGGUCCACGAGUGGCGAACGGGUGAGUAACACGUGAGUAAUGUGCCCUUGACUCUGGGAUAACAGCCGGAAACGGUUGCUAAUACCGGCUAUACACAUGUGCCUGCAUGGGUGUGUGUGGAAAGCUUUUGCGGUCUUGGAUCAACUCGCGGCCUCUCAGCUUGUUGGUGGGGUAAUGGCCUACCAAGGCUUCGACGGGUAGCCGGCCUGGGAGGGCGACCGGCCACACGGGGACUGAGAUACGGCCCAGACUCGUACGGGAGGAAGGGGGGGGGAAGAUUGCACAAUGGGCGGAAGCCUGAGGCAGCAACGCCGCGUGCGGGAGGACGGCGUUCGGGUGGUAAACCGCUUUCAGUAGGGACGAAGCGAAAGUGACGGUACCGACAGAAGAAGCACGGGCAAACUAGGU